rnacentral:rRNA from 1 species
AAAACUGGGGCUAAUCCCUCAUAGACCUGGGGCACUGGAAGGUCCCUAGGUUGAAACGGGUGAGCUGGCAUGCCGGUUCACCUGCCUUAGGAUGGGGCUGCGUCCGAUCAGGUAGUUGGUGGGGUAAUGGCCCACCAAGCCUAUGACCGGUGCGGGCUCUGAGAGGAGGAGCCCGGAGAUGGACCCUGAGACAAGGGUCCAGGCCCUACGGGGCGCAGCAGGCGCGAAACCUUCGCAAUGCCCGAAAGGGUGACGAGGCUACCCCGAGUGUCGUCCGCUAAGGACGGCUUUUGUCGGGUCUAAAAAGCCCGACGAAUAAGGGGAGGGCAAGUCUGGUGUCAGCCGCCGCGGUAAUACCAGCUCCCCGACUGGUCGGGACGAUUAUUGGGUCUAAAGCGUCCGUAGCCGGCCCUGUAUGUGAUCCGUUAAAUCCAGCGGCCCAACCGCUGGGCUGCGGAUCAUACUAUGGGGCUAGGGGACGGGAGAGGCCGGAGGUACUCCGCGGGUAGGGGUAAAAUCCGCUGAUCCGCGGAAGACCAACAGUGGCGAAGGCGUCCGGCCAGAACGCGCCCGACGGUGAGGGACGAAAGCCAGGGGAGCGAACCGGAUUAGAUACCCGGGUAGUCCUGGCCGUAAACGAUGCCCGCUAGGUCUUGGUGAAGCUUAGGGUUUCAUCAGGGCCGCAGGGAAGCCGUUAAGCGGGCCACCUGGGGAGUACGGCCGCAAGGCUGAAACUUAAAGGAAUUGGCGGGGGAGCACCACAAGGGGUGAAGCCUGCGGUUUAAUUGGAGUCAACGCCGGGAACGUUACCAGGGGUGACGGCAGAGUGAAGGUCAGGCUAAAGACCUUACCUGACAAGCCGAGAGGAGGUGCAUGGCCGUCGUCAGCUCGUGCUGUGAAGUGUCCUGUUAAGUCAGGCAACGAGCGAGACCCUCGCUGCCAGUUGCUUCUAUGUUCCGAAAGGUACAUAGAGGAAACUGGUGGGACCGCCGCCGAUAAGGCGGAGGAAGGAGGGGGCUACGGCAGGUCAGUAUGCCCCGAAACCCCUGGGCCAC